rnacentral:lncRNA from 1 species
GGAUGGAGUCUGGUUAUUGUAGAAGUCCUGCGACUGAAGAAGCUCGAUCAUUGAUGAAGUCCGAAGGAAGUUCGGAGUAAAGUCGAUCGUGGCUGGGAGAAGUCUGGAAGAGAUUCAGAGAAUAGUCCACCACUAUAGAGAAUCGGCUGAAAGUGAAGUUCAGAGAGCAUUUGGAGCAGUCCGAUAAAUGAAUGGAGAAGCUCAUGAUUAGAGAAGUUCGGAUGGUAUUAUAGAAGCUCGG